GACGAACGCUGGCGGCGUGCUUAACACAUGCAAGUCGAACGGAAAGGCCCUGCUUUUGUGGGGUGCUCGAGUGGCGAACGGGUGAGUAACACGUGAGUAACCUGCCCUUGACUUUGGGAUAACUUCAGGAAACUGGGGCUAAUACCGGAUAGGAGCUCCUGCUGCAUGGUGGGGGUUGGAAAGUUUCGGCGGUUGGGGAUGGACUCGCGGCUUAUCAGCUUGUUGGUGGGGUAGUGGCUUACCAAGGCUUUGACGGGUAGCCGGCCUGAGAGGGUGACCGGCCACAUUGGGACUGAGAUACGGCCCAGUCUCCUACGGGAGGCAGCAGUGGGGAAUAUUGCACAAUGGGCGGAAGCCUGAUGCAGCAACGCCGCGGUCGGGAUGACGGCCUUCGGGUUGUAAACCGCUUUCGCCUGUGACGAAGCGUGAGUGACGGUAAUGGGUAAAGAAGCACCGGCUAACUACGUG
rnacentral:rRNA from 1 species